GUUUGCUUUCUAUCUGUGAUAACGACCAUAACUGAAAGAAACUUGGAGGAAGAAGGGAGUUGAUUUGGAUUACGUCCCAUGAAUGGUAGCCCAUCCUGAAGGGAAGUCAAGGCAGGAACUCAAAGCAGGAACUGAAGCAGAGAAAUGCUGUGUGUUAGCUUGCUCUCUGUGACUUGCUUAGCCUGUUUUCUUGUACAAACCAGAACCACCUGCCCCGUGGUGGCAUCACUCAAAGUCAGCUUGGCCCUCCCACAUCAAUCACUAAGCAAGGAAAGGCCGACCGAUGUACCUGCAGGCCAAUUUGUUGGAAGCAUUUUCUCAGUUGGAAUUCCCUCUUCCCAGAUGACCCUAAUUUGUAUCAUGUUGAUUUAAAAAAAUCAAAAAACCAAAAGCACUAACAACAAGAACCAAAAGCACUAACAACAAGAACCUAACCAAAAAACCAAAAACAAACAAAAAACCAAAAGCACUAACAACAAGAACCUAACCAGUACACUAACUGAAUCCACCCCCUUUUACACCUCUAGAACACAACUGCCUGUGUUGCUAUUUUGGCUUACUAAGUUUUUUUGGUUUUUGUUUUUUUUCCCCCUACAGGACCUCCUUGAUACACAGCCCCAGAGCAGGCAUACAUGUGGAGCAAUGGAAAGCUGGUCCAACUAACUCAGAAUAGUGCAUAGCUGGUCUCACUGUGGAAAGCAUAAGGGAGACAUGCCAUCGCCGUCCCCAGAUGAAGGCAAACAUUUCAAAGAGCAGGGACUUUUGACUGCAAUUCUAGUGUUAAAAAUACUCUUUCUGCUCAAAUGAAUGAUACGAAUGAGACUCAUAACAUCUUUCUAGUAUAUUCUGUCUGUCUUUUAGCUCUCCCUCUCCUCUCUCUUCCUAAUGACCACAAAAUAAGAAUGCGUGAAAAAAAAAAACUUUUAUUACCCCAUCUUCAAACAAACCCCCAGAUUUAUGUGUAUGACCCAGACACAAUCACAGCUUUAUAUGCUCAAAAUGAGUUCCCUAGCGGCCAGAGACCUGUUCCCCAGAUUAACAGGCAAUUGACAUCCAGACUCCCCAUCAGACUGAAAGGCACCAGAGGAGCUGAGCUUGGAGAUACUGAGAAGAAAUGAGGAUUUGGAGGGACAGUGGCUGUCACUUUUUCUCUUGCCCUCCAAGGACUUGGCUGAAGCUCUUGCUCCUCGGUCUUCAUCCUUCUCUCUCCAUUUACACCAGAACAAUGAGGAGCAGCGAAGAUGGAACAAAUGAUUCUUUGUAGAAAGGUGAAGAGAACACCAAAAGGACCCCAGAGAACAAGAACUAUUAUCCCGUUCACAAGAAGGCAAAGACUGGAAAGGGAGAGGGCGUAGCCAGGUCUCUGGAAGCAGUGAGCUGACUGAACUGACGUUUGCUGUGGAGAAUAGAAUGGUGGCAGGAUGUCCAGAAUCAAGAGGCUAACGGGAGUGAUAGAGGGGACGUUGCAGAAAGAACAUUUUGCUAAUUUGAAAGCUGCAACCUAAAAAAUCUGUGCUCUGAGCACAGAAAGAGGAUGGCACUCAUGCCUGACUACAAAUAUCAGUAGGGGCAUGACCUUUGUGUCUAGUACAGCUUUGCUGAGUCCAACAGCUGUAUGCAAGGAGGAACGUUGUAUCUAUUGGGUGUCUCCUUGCUGGCAGGAAGAGUGGCAAGGAGAUCCUUCGCACGUUUCAUCUUACGGUCGUCUGCUGCAUGAGGCAGCUGCUUUUUCCCAGUGCGUACGUAGAUCGGGAAACAGAGACUCAAAGGAAUUGAGGAAUCUAUCUCAAGUGGCCUCUCAGGUAGAGCUGAGCCUCAGUGUGUUCAUCCUGAAGCUUGUGAUUUUCCCACAACAGAAGCCGAUUCACCACAAGGCUCUGCAUUCUCUGUGGCUCCUCAGUUCAUCAAAGGCGAAUAAAGGACUUGUGGGGCGAUCCUGUCAGUGCAAGACUUUUAAGCCAUAAAUGAAUGAAAAUCAAUGAGGAAAUGUAUCUAAACGACACAGACACUAAAGUUAGGAACUGGGUGAGACAGCUUCAACCAUAUGUCCAUCAUCUGAAUCCACUGUUCUUCAUCUCUGUGUGGCUCAUAGCAUCCUUUGAGACUCUGACAACAACUAAGAAGUUGAAUAUUUAUACAAACCUACAGAGAGAUAAA